AUCCUCUUGCUACAUCCUCCCUGAGUGCUGGGAUUACAGGUUGGACAAGAUGCUCCUAAUUCAUCAAACUCAAAACCACAGAGUCCACUAUAAUCCACCAGACAUAAUUCUGAAAAGUUUUGCUCUGCCUCAGCCAUCGAACAAAUACACUGCCUUCUCCUUAAUAUUAAUUAAUAUGGCUCUUGCUCUGUUAUUCAGACUUGUCUUGAACUUUCUAUUAGCCCAGGCUGGCUGUGAACUCAUGGCAAUCCUCCUGCCUCAGCCUCCCGAGUGCUGGACUUACAGGCAUGCACCACUAUGCUUGGCUUGUGUGUGUGUUAACAUUACUUUGUUAAAUAUAAACACUAUAUACAACAUCUUUAUAACUGUUUUGCAGUUUUUCUUUUCUUUAAAUAUAGCUGUGAUCUCAAAAAUCAAAGCAAUCUAGGAUUGUGGAUUUCUGAAAGGCCUAAGCAAGCCAUUAACAUCCUUCCUUUUCUAUACUCCUAGGGUUUAGGGGUGGCAUGAACCCUAAUCAUUCUCCCCUACAUAAACUUUCCUAUUUUGGACUCUCUUAAACAUUGCCCAGCAGAUUCUGAUAGAGCAAUUUUCUCAUGUUUAUGCUCAACCAUUUUCCAAGGAAGAGAUGUUAUAUAUACUUGUGACUAGGGGCCAGAAAUUAUUUAACUCUGAACAUGUUGAGCAUUCUAUGGUCUCCUCCAUGUCUCCCUCUCCCAGGAGGAUAUUCCAUUUGCUGAGUCCACACAAUG